GGGAACCUGCGGCUGGAUCACCUCCUUUAUAGAGAAUAGGGUAUCUAGACCCCACACACGCCACUCGGUAGAAAGACUUGGGCCUAUAGCUCAGCUGGCUAGAGCACACGACUGAUAAUCGUGAGGUCAGUGGUUCGAGUCCACUUGGGCCCACCAAAUGGGGCUGUAGCUCAGCUGGGAGAGCACCUGCUUUGCAAGCAGGGGGUCACCGGUUCGAUCCCGGUCAGCUCCACCAGAUGUUCUGGUGGAAAGGCAGCCUGCCCAAGGGUGGGGGCCAGUGGUAGGAGAGGUUGGGUAGGUUAGUGGAAGAAAGGGAUGGAGAGUCUCUUGUGCACUACGUACCGGAAGGUGCGGUAGUAUUGUUCUUUGACAAUGGAAGAAGGGAAGGCCCGUUGCCAGGUUCUGGGACUUGGUAGCGAUCUCGCGAAGGUAUUGCGGGAUAUAUGGUCAAGUGAAUAAGGGCAUACGGUGGAUGCCUUGGCGGAAACAGGCGAUGAAGGACGUGGGCACCUGCGAAAAGCCUCGGGGAGCUGGUAAACGAGCUGUGAUCCGGGGAUGUCCGAUGNNNAAANCCCCCCCCCNCCAAA
rnacentral:misc_RNA from 1 species